GCGCGAGCUCUCGCUGGGGACUUCCGGCGCCCUCAGCCCAUCCAGCCAUUGCCCGCCCAGCCUACAGUUUCGGUUGGCGAGACGCCCGGCACCAGUGGCUUGCAGAGCGUUGCACGCGGUGCCGGUGGUGUGGCCGAGCAGGAUGCGGUCCAGGAGUGCCUGAGUGCUCCAGCUCCACCACAACGCCAAAGGCGCCGCCGAGUGCCGCCAGCGGGUGCCCGUGAAGCCCUCCCACGCCUAGUGGAACUGCAUACCCGGAGCAGUGAGCAGCAGCAGCAAACCAACACGCUGAUUGCGGAGCUCCGGGAUGCGGCCACCCGCCAGGCUGUGGCCCUCGAACAGCUGGCAACCGAGGCCAGGCUCCACAGGGAGGCUGCAGAGAGGCAGGCUACAGCCCUGGAGGCCAUCCUGCAGCAACAGGGCCAGGCUUUGCAGGAGCUGCGCAGCGUGGGGGUGCUCUCACGGGCCAUUGCAGCGGCACUGCGGCGGCCUGCACAAUAAUUUAAAAUUUUGCUAUAUUCUUUGAUCUGCAGCAAAGACUGCUGCAGUUUUUUUUAUCUGCAGCAAAGACUGCUGCAGUUUUUUUUUAUCUGCAGCAAAGACUGCUGCAGUUUUUUUAUC